UGCAACUACUCUAUGCGCGAGAUCACUGGGUGUCAACCUAAAUGGCGGAAUGAAAGUAAAGGGGGCUUUGCUUCCUAAGGAAGAUGGGCACGUCUUGCCUUUUUAAGGCGGUGCCCCGCACUCCCGGGGCGUCUCUAUACUCUUUAUGAUGGGAGGCGCACCUAUAUGGCACACGCUGAUACCCGAAAGAUGGUGAACUAUGCCUGGCCAGGACAAAGCCAGGGGAAACCCUGGUGGAGGUCCGCAGCGAUUCUGACGUGCAAAUCGAUCGUCGGAGCUGGGUAUAGGGGCGAAAGGGUUACCGAACCAUCUACCCUCUGGUUCCCUCUAAAGUUUCCCUCAUGAUAACGUGCGCUCGGAGAGAAGAGUCUCAUCCGGUAAAGCGAAUGAUUACAAGCCUUGGGGUCGAAACGACCUCAACCUAUUGUGAUACUCCAAAUAAACGAGAUGCCCGGUGUGCUUGCAUAUGAAGCCGGUACUCGUAUCGGAAUGCCAAGUGGCCCAUUUUUGGUAAGCAGAACUGGCCCUGUGGGAUGAACUAAACCCAUUUUUAAGGCCCCUGAAUCGACGCUCAUGUGAAACCAUGAAAGGGGGUUUUUGUGCUUUAGACAUCCGCGUAAGGGCCCUUGGACAAAAGAACCCGUUAAAGAGUGGGUCCCAACUUACUGCCACCAUCAAUUACAUUAUUAUUAAUAAGAAGAAUAGUUGAAAGUGGUGCAGGAACAGGAUGAACAGUAUAUCCUCCCCUUUCUACUAAUAUUGCACAUAGAGGAGCAUCAGUAGACUUAGCAAUUUUUUCACUACAUUUAGCAGGAGUAUCCUCAAUUUUAGGGGCUAUUAACUUCAUUUCAACUAUUAUAAAUAUACGACCAAAAGGAAUAACAAUAGAACGAAUUCCUUUAUUCGUAUGAUCAGUAAGUAUUACUGCAUUACUAUUAUUAUUAUCAUUACCAGUACUAGCUGGGGCUAUUACAAUAUUACUUGCAGACCGAAACUUCAAUACAUCAUUUUUUGACCCAGCAGGGGGGGGAGAUCCUAUUUUAUAUCAACACUUAUUUUGAUU
rnacentral:rRNA from 1 species